GUGCCGGACACUGUGAGGAUUGACAGAUCAAGAGCUCUUUCUUGAUUCAGUGGGUAGUGGUGCAUGGCCGUUCUUAGUUGGUGGAGCGAUUUGUCUGGCUAAUUCCGAUAACGAACGAGACUCUGGCCUACUAACUAGCGGCGGUGUUCAUGUCUCCUGUAUGGCCGCAGACGGUUGCGCGCUCGUCGUUACAACCGCUGCGCGCUCUAUGGAGCAGCAGCGCCGGCAGCCGCUUCUUAGAGGGACCAGCGACACUUUCGCAAGCCGCACGAGAAAGAGCAAUAACAGGUCUGUGAUGCCCUUAGAUGUACGGGGCUGCACGCGUGCUACACUGACGGCGUCAGCGUGCGUUCAAGCCCGGCCUGCCAAGGUCGGGAAAUCGGUUGAAACGUUCUCGUGACUGGGACCGGGAAUUGCAAUUAUUUC
rnacentral:rRNA from 1 species